GCGGAUGUAGCUCAGUUGGUUAGAGCGCCGGCCUGUCACGCCGGAGGUCGCGGGUUCAAGUCCCGUCAUUCGCG
rfam:Caulobacter henricii strain CB4, complete genome.